rnacentral:rRNA from 1 species
UUCUUCCUACGGGAGGCAGCAGUGAGGGAUAUUGGUCAAUGGGGGAAACCCUGAACCAGCAACGCCGCGUGAGGGAAGACGGUUUUCGGAUUGUAAACCUCUGUCCUCUGUGAAGAUAAUGACGGUAGCAGAGGAGGAAGCUCCGGCUAACUACGUGCCAGCAGCCGCGGUAAUACGUAGGGAGCAAGCGUUGUCCGGAUUUACUGGGUGUAAAGGGUGCGUAGGCGGGCUUGCAAGUCAGAAGUGAAAUCUAUGGGCUUAACCCAUAAACUGCUUUUGAAACUGUAAGUCUU